rnacentral:rRNA from 1 species
ACGCUGGCGGCGUGCCUAAUACAUGCAAGUAGAACGCUGAAGAGAGGAGCUUGCUCUUCUUGGAUGAGUUGCGAACGGGUGAGUAACGCGUAGGUAACCUGCCUUGUAGCGGGGGAUAACUAUUGGAAACGAUAGCUAAUACCGCAUAACAAUAGGUGACACAUGUCAUUUAUUUGAAAGGGGCAAUUGCUCCACUACAAGAUGGACCUGCGUUGUAUUAGCUAGUAGGUGAGGUAACGGCUCACCUAGGCGACGAUACAUAGCCGACCUGAGAGGGUGAUCGGCCACACUGGGACUGAGACACGGCCCAGACUCCUACGGGAGGCAGCAGUAGGGAAUCUUCGGCAAUGGGGGCAACCCUGACCGAGCAACGCCGCGUGAGUGAAGAAGGUUUUCGGAUCGUAAAGCUUUGUUGUAAGUCAAGAACGAGUGUGAGAGUGGAAAGUUCACACUGUGACGGUAGCUUACCAGAAAGGGACGGCUAACUACGUGCCAGCAGCCGCGGUAAUACGUAGGUCCCGAGCGUUGUCCGGAUUUAUUGGGCGUAAAGCGAGCGCAGGCGGUUUGAUAAGUCUGAAGUUAAAGGCUGUGGCUCAACCAUAGUUCGCUUUGGAAACUGUCAAACUUGAGUGCAGAAGGGGAGAGUGGAAUUCCAUGUGUAGCGGUGAAAUGCGUAGAUAUAUGGAGGAACACCGGUGGCGAAAGCGGCUCUCUGGCUUGUAACUGACGCUGAGGCUCGAAAGCGUGGGGAGCAAACAGGAUUAGAUACCCUGGUAGUCCACGCCGUAAACGAUGAGUGCUAGGUGUUAGACCCUUUCCGGGGUUUAGUGCCGCAGCUAACGCAUUAAGCACUCCGCCUGGGGAGUACGACCGCAAGGUUGAAACUCAAAGGAAUUGACGGGGGCCCGCA